AACGAACGCUGGCGGCAGGCCUAACACAUGCAAGUCGAGCGCAGGAAACUGACGGAACUCUUCGGAGGGAAGGCAGUGGAAUGAGCGGCGGACGGGUGAGUAACACGUAAGGAACCUGCCUCAAGGAUUGGGAUAACUCCGAGAAAUCGGAGCUAAUACCGGAUAGUUCAUCGGACCGCAUGGUCCGUUGAUGAAAGGCGCUUCGGCGUCACCUUGAGAUGGCCUUGCGGUGCAUUAGCUAGUUGGUGGGGUAACGGCCCACCAAGGCGACGAUGCAUAGCCGACCUGGGAGGGUGAUCGGCCGCACUGGGCCUGGGACACGGCCCAGACUCCUACGGGAGGCAGCAGUAGGGAAUCUUCCGCGAUGGACGAAAGUCUGAUGGAGCAACGCCGCGUGAGUGAUGAAGGUUUUCGGAUCGUAAAACUCUGUUGUAAGGGAAGAACACGUACGAGAGGGAAUGCUCGUACCUUGACGGUACCUUACGAGAAAGCCACGGCUAACUACGUGCCAGCCGCCGCAGUAA
rnacentral:rRNA from 1 species